CACACCGCAGAAAUGUAGCGUAGCUUGCUGGGACUUCCUGGCCAGGCGUCUGUCACUUUUACAGUGGAGCGUUUGUCUAAUAUUUCCACAAAAUGGGAAGAGACGCUGGUCAUUACCCGGACAACGACGCCGUGUGACCGUGUGGCGUAAUGCGACCCGGGGAAGAGUUGCCUUCGGAAGGGAUACAUUUAUGUUUUGGGACGGUUUUAUACGGGACUAGCUAGCAGCUAGUGGUGGCUAGCGACUCUUCUGGCUGCUUCCAACGUAUUUUGUUUGCAAGGAUGCUACGAUGGAUACGACAGCAGCUGGGCUUUGACCCCCCCCAUCAAAGUGACACCAGGACAAUUUACGUUGCGAACCGCUUUCCCCAGCAUGGCCACUACAUACCUCAACGUUUUGCUGAUAACAGAAUUAUUUCAUCCAAGUAUACCAUUUGGAAUUUUGUCCCCAAGAAUUUGUUCGAACAGUUCAGAAGGAUAGCCAACUUUUAUUUUCUUAUCAUCUUCCUUGUACAGUUGAUGAUAGAUACCCCGACUUCCCCAGUCACCAGCGGUCUGCCUCUUUUCUUUGUGAUCACAGUGACUGCCAUAAAACAGGGCUAUGAGGACUGGCUUAGGCACAAGGCUGACAACGAGGUCAACGGUGCUCCUGUGUUUGUCGUUCGAAGUGGAAGCCUGGUCCAGACAAGAUCCAAAAACAUCAGAGUGGGGGAUAUUGUCCGUGUGGCUAAAGAUGAAACAUUUCCAGCUGACCUGGUGUUGCUAUCAUCAGAGCGUUCAGAUGGUACCUGUCACAUUACCACUGCCAGCCUCGAUGGGGAGACUAAUCUCAAGACUCACUAUUCUGUGGCAGAGACAGCUGUAUGCCAGUCCGUGACCCAACUGGAGGCCUUACAGGCUGUAGUUGAGUGUCAGCAACCAGAAGCUGACCUUUACAGGUUUGUUGGCCGAAUAACAGUGACUCAUCAUGGGGAGGAGACGGUGAGACCGCUCGGUCCAGAAAACUUGUUGCUGCGAGGGGCCAGGUUGAAAAAUACCAAAGAGAUCUUUGGUGUCGCAGUUUAUACAGGAAUGGAGUCCAAAAUGGCCCUCAACUAUAAGUGCAAGUCUCAGAAACGCUCUGCAGUAGAGAAGUCUAUGAAUACUUUCCUCAUCAUCUACUUGGGCAUCUUGCUGUUCGAGGCCAUCCUCAGCACCAUUCUGAAGUAUGCCUGGCAGGCUGAGGACAAAUGGGACGAGCCGUUCUACAACCAAAAGACAGAACAGGAGAAAAACAGCAGCCCGAUCUUGAAAUUCAUCUCCGACUUCUUGGCAUUCCUGGUCCUCUACAAUUUUAUCAUCCCCAUCUCACUCUAUGUUACUGUGGAGAUGCAGAAGUUCCUUGGCUCCUUUUUCAUAGGCUGGGAUAUGGACCUUUACCAUGAGGAGAGUGACCAGAAAGCUCAAGUCAACACCUCAGACCUCAAUGAGGAACUUGGCCAGAUUGAGUAUGUGUUUACCGACAAGACGGGUACACUAACCGAAAAUGAAAUGCAAUUCCGGGAAUGUUCGAUUAAUGGAAACAAAUAUCGGGAAGUUAAUGGCAAACUAGUGCCAGAGGGACUGACUGAAGAUUCACCAGACGGCUCUACACCUAACUUGGUUGGAGAGGAAUUGUUAUUUCUCAAAGCGGUUUCACUGUGUCACACAGUUCAGAUCAGCUACGACCAGCCAGACUGCCUGUCUGGGACAGCAGACCCAUUCUCCCAUGUUAAUGGAUUUUCGUCUAAUGAAAUGGAAUAUUAUGCUUCUUCACCGGAUGAAAAAGCGUUAGUUGAGGCAAUGAAGAGAAUUGGAGUGGCCUUUACUGGCGUCAGUGGUGAGACAAUGGAAAUCAAAACAUUUGGCAAACCAGAGAAGUACAAACUGCUCCAUGUGUUGGAGUUUGAUGCAGACCGCAGGAGAAUGAGUGUCAUUCUGCAGAACCCUUCUGGUGGCCAAGUGCUGUUUACUAAGGGAGCAGAGUCGUCCAUUUUUCCUUUCACCACCAGUGGUGAAAUAGAAAAGACAAGACUUCAUGUCGAUGAGUUUGCCUUGAGAGGGUUGCGGACCCUCGUGGUAGCAUGCCGUCAUUUCAGCCCAGAGGAGUACAUGGAAGUGGACAGGCAUUUGAACAGCGCUCGCACUGCACUGCAGCAGAGGGAAGAGCGACUGCAAGAGGCCUUCAGCUACAUUGAGCGAGACUUGCAUCUCCUGGGAGCAACAGGGGUGGAAGACAAGCUACAAGACAAAGUUCAAGAGACAAUUGAGGCUCUGCGUCUGGCAGGAAUCAAAGUUUGGGUGCUGACAGGCGACAAACACGAGACUGCAGUCAGCGUCAGUCUGUCUUGUGGUCACUUCCACAGAACCAUGAACACCCUGGAGCUCCUUCAGCAACGUUCUGACAAUGAGUGUGCUGAGCAACUCCGUAGGCUGGCGAGAAGGAUUAAAGAGGACCAUGUCAUACAGCAUGGAUUGGUUGUGGAUGGCGCCAGUUUAUCCUUAGCAUUGAGGGAACAUGAGAAGCUCUUUAUGGAAGUUUGUAAAAACUGUUCAGCUGUGCUUUGCUGCCGCAUGGCCCCACUGCAGAAAGCAAAGGUGGUGCGUCUUUUCAAAAGCUCUCCAGAGAAACCAAUCACCUUAGCUGUUGGAGAUGGAGCCAAUGAUGUCAGUAUGAUUCAGGAAGCCCAUGUUGGCAUAGGAAUUAUGGGAAAAGAAGGACGCCAGGCCGUGAGAAACAGUGACUAUGCAAUUGCCAGAUUCAGGUUUCUGGCGAAACUACUGUUGGUCCACGGUCACUUCUACUACAUUCGAAUAUCCACACUUGUACAAUACUUUUUCUAUAAAAAUGUGUGUUUUAUCACACCCCAGUUUUUAUACCAGUUCUUCUGUCUGUUUUCACAACAAACUCUGUAUGACAGUGUUUAUCUGACACUGUACAACAUCUGCUUUACCUCACUGCCCAUCCUGGUGUACAGUCUGUUUGAACAGCUCGUUCAUCCACAUGUCCUGCAGACUAAACCAGGCCUGUACAGAGACAUCAGCAGGAACUCGCUAUUGUCUUUCCGAACGUUCCUCUAUUGGACUGUCUUGGGCUUCUGUCAUGCUUUCGUCUUCUUCUUUGGAUCCUACAUACUGAUGGGAGAGGACACCACACUUAUGGGCAACGGGCAGAUCUUGCGAGCUAACAGGCAGCUGAUGUUUGGAAACUGGACCUUUGGAACACUGGUCUUCACAGUUAUGGUCAUAACUGUCACUUUAAAACUUGCAUUAGAGACUCAUUUCUGGACAUGGAUGAACCAUUUUGUGACGUGGGGGUCAAUAGCCUUCUAUUUCAUCUUCUCUCUCUUCUAUGGAGGCAUUAUCUGGCCAUUCCUCCACACCCAGGAUAUGUAUUUUGUUUUUGUUCAAUUACUGUCCAGUGGCUCUGCAUGGUUUGCCAUCAUCAUCAUUAUCAUUACCUGCCUCUUUCCUGACGUGGUGAAGAAGGUCUUCUACCGACAUCUGCGACCCACCAGCACACAGAAGAGUCAGAUGUAUUCCAACCAUGUGGCAAUAGGUGAUGACUUCAUCGCUCUUCAACCUCUGUCCAGAGCCAAGAAUCAGCUGGGCAAAAUUAGCCUUUAUCAGCCCCCCAGGCCCAGACCCUCAGCUGUGUGGAGUCCUUGUGCUGCUACCAACAUGGGCAGAGCGGCUGUACCCGCCUGGGCCACCUCCUGGAGCAAAUGACCGGGCCGUGCUCUACCACUGGCAACCAUUGCCACACAUCCAGCCGCAACAACAGGUCCUGGAGUGACCCCGACAACUUCUACUCCAACGAUCGCAGCAUUCUCACGCUGUCGCCCAUCGACACCGCCCACUGCUGACGCCUCCAUCCCUCCAUCCCUCUCCUCCAUCCCUUCAUCCCUCCAUCCCUCAUGCCAUCUUGUAAGCUCGCUGGCUUCAAAACCACACACAAAUAGACUCAACCGGAGCGGCCGUCUCCUGAAGCCAAAGCAGGUCGACGUUGAAGCUGGAAGAGAACCUUCUAGAAGCGAGCCUCAGGAGGUAUUUUUUUUAUUGCUUCCAAAAAAAAACUUUUCAAAAUGCACUUUUGAUGUCUGCCUCCCACUCGUAGCAUCCUGCAGUUCUGUCAACGUCCACCGGUCUGAUACCAAAGAGGAAGUCUUUUUUUUUGUGCCUGCUCGCACUCACACGGCGUUCAUGCUGCUUCGCUCCUCCUGACUGUUCUGAACUCCGUUUUCCCGCGGAGUGUGUUGAUAAAGCCAUAGUUUUUUGUUUUUUUCAGGACGUUCCCUUAUUAUGGAAGGUCCGGUAAAUAGCUGCUGGGUAUCGGUCCCCCUUUAUUGCCUUCCUCAGUCGCGUUAAAGGACGCGUGCGAAUGUUUCAUCAGCUCGUAUUUUUCUUUUGCUUUCUCAAAGUGUUUGUGUCCUCAUAGUGAGGUUUUGAUGGCGAUGUCACCUGUUGUCAUGGUGACUUGACGGCUGACACGGAACCCGAGCGUUUUUAAGCCUCGACGUCAACGAAGCGAGGCCUCGAUGGGAUGCUCCCGUUGCUACGGUUACGCCUUAACGUCGCCGCUACUUGUCGCACGAAGUCUUCCCGUCUGUCGUGUCCUUUUUGGAAUAUUUGUUGAUUGCGUGCUUUUGUUGAUGAACCAAUAUGAAAAGUGAUUGUCAUUGACAGCGUACAAAAAUAAUAAUAAGAUGACACACUCGGGUGUUGUUGACACAAGCGUUGACUAAUGUUAAACCGUUUGACCGCAGUGCACCUUCAGACACGCUAACCAAUAUGAAAAGUGAUAUAAUCCAUGUAAACACACACGUGUACGGUCAUUGACAGCGUACAAAAAUAAUAAUAAGAUGACACACGGGUGUUGUUGACACAAGCGUUGACUAAUGUUAACCGUUUGACCGCAGUGCACCUUCAGACACGCUGACCAAUAGGAAAAGUGAUAUAAUCCAUGUAAACACACAUGUGUAUGGUCAUUGACAGCGUACAAAAAUAAUAAGUUGACACACGGGUGUUGUUGACACAAGCGUUGACUAAUGUUAACCGUUUGACCGCAGUGCACCUUCAGCCGUGCUGACCAAUAAGAAAAGUGAUAUAAUCCAUGUAAACACACACGUGUACGGUCAUUGACAGCGUACAAAACAUAAUAAUAAGAUGACACACGGGUGUUGUUGACACAAGCGUUAGCUAAUGUUAACCGUUUGACCGCAGUGCACCUUCAGCCGUGCUGACCAAUAGGAAAAGUGAUAUAAUCCAUGUAAACACACACGUGUAUGGUCAUUGACAGCGUACAAAAAUAAUAAGAAG